rnacentral:rRNA from 1 species
GAUGAACGCUGGCGGCGUGCCUAAUACAUGCAAGUCGAGCGGACGGACGCGACGCUUGCUUCUCUGAUGUUAGCGGCGGACGGGUGAGUAACACGUGGAUACCCUACCUAUCAGACUGGGAUAACUUCGGGACACCGGAGCUAAUACCGGAUAAUAUUUUGAACCGCAUGGUUCAAAAGUGAAAGACGGUCUUGCUGUCACUUAUAGAUGGAUCCGCGCUGCAUUAGCUAGUUGGUAAGGUAACGGCUUACCAAGGCAACGAUGCAUAGCCGACCUGAGAGGGUGAUAGGCGACACUGGAACGGAGACACGGUCCAGACUCCUACGGGAGGCAGCAGUAUGGAAUCUUCCGCAAUGGGCGAAAGCCUGACGGAGCAACGCGGCGUGAGUGAUGAAGGUCUUCGGAUCGUAAAACUCUGUUAUGAGUGAAGAACAUAUGUGUAAGUAACUGUGCACAUCGUGACGGUACCUAAUCAGAAAGCCACGGCUAACUACGUG